ACAUUUUUAAAAGGAAAAAAUACUGGCUUGUCAAAAAAGAACUGCCAUCACUUCAUAAUCAGGACACAGUAGACCACAACUGGAGAAGCCCAUCCUGGUUCAAAACAUGCAUUCUUUUAAGUAAGUGGAAGAAUAGCUCUUGCUGUUUGCUAAUUGCCUACUGAGUGCCAGGCAUCCUAGGAACACCACCUUUACCCCUUUCACAGCACUCAGAACAAGGUGAGGAAUCUUCAGCAUUAAAGUGUUUUCCCAGUCUGUCUCCCUGAUCCCCUGUAGCUGCCAUGUAGGAGGAUCCUCUACAUGAGGGCAUCUCACAUUAGGACGUCUUUUAAGAAAUGCCACAGGAUACAGGCAAAGGCCAGAGGCACCAGAAGAAAUUAUGCCAACCAAGUGAGUCUCUUCCCAAAAGGAUCCGGAAUGCUGGGAACACAGUUGGACGACGGCUUUGACUAAGAGUCCACGGGCUCCAGACGCUGUCCAGGGAUCUGGCAGACCAGUCUUGGCCUUGCUGCAGUGCUCCUGGGCUUCUUGUCCUUCUGCAGCUGACGCUAUUUACUCAGUUGGAUGAAGAUCUUAUCAUUGCUCAAUCAGGCAACAGAAAUGAGAGGCAUGUGAGUCCUGCCUUUCUGGAAUUAUGAACUCCA